GACGAACGCUGGCGGCGUGCUUAACACAUGCAAGUCGAACGAAGAGCGAUGGAAGCUUGCUUCUAUCAAUCUUAGUGGCGAACGGGUGAGUAACGCGUAAUCAACCUGCCCUUCAGAGGGGGACAACAGUUGGAAACGACUGCUAAUACCGCAUACGAUCUAAACUCGGCAUCGAGGAUAGAUGAAAGGUUGCCUCUACAUGUAAGCUAUCACUGAAGGAGGGGAUUGCGUCUGAUUAGCUAGUUGGAGGGGUAACGGCCCACCAAGGCGAUGAUCAGUAGCCGGUCUGAGAGGAUGAACGGCCACAUUGGGACUGAGACACGGCCCAGACUCCUACGGGAGGCAGCAGUGGGGAAUCUUCCGCAAUGGACGAAAGUCUGACGGAGCAACGCCGCGUGAGUGAUAACGGCCUUCGGGUUGUAAAGCUCUGUUAAUCGGGACGAAAGGCCUUCUUGCGAAUAGUGAGAAGGAUUGACGGUACCGGAAUAGAAAGCCACGGCUAACUACGUG
rnacentral:rRNA from 1 species